AAGGUACUGAGCUUGCGAGAAGUAGAGCGGGACACGUGAAAUCCUGCUCGAAGAUGGGGGGACCAUCCUCCAAGGCUAAAUACUCGUAAUCGACCGAUAGCGAACCAGUACUGUGAAGGAAAGGCGAAAAGAACCCCGGGAGGGGAGUGAAAUAGAUCCUGAAACCGCAUACAUACAAACAGUAGGAGCCCGCAAGGGUGACUGCGUACCUUUUGCAUAAUGGGUCAGCGACUUACGUUCAAUGGCAAGCUUAACCGAGUAGGGGAGGCGCAGCGAAAGCGAGUCCGAACAGGGCGACAUGAGUCGUUGGGCGUAGACCCGAAACCAGAUGAUCUAUCCAUGGCCAGGCUGAAGGUGUGGUAACACACACUGGAGGGCCGAACCGACUAGUGUUGCAAAAUUAGCGGAUGAGCUGUGGAUAGGGGUGAAAGGCUAAACAAAUCUGGAGAUAGCUGGUUCUCCCCGAAAACUAUUGAGGUAGUGCCUCGUGUAUGGCUCCAGGGGGUAGAGCACUGUUAUGGCUAGGGGGACAUGGCGUCUUACCAAACCAUGGCAAACUCCGAAUACUUGGAAGUCUGAGCACGGGAGACAGAGCACCGGGUGCUAACGUCCGGACUCAAAAGGGAAACAACCCAGACCGCCGGCUAAGGUCCCUAAUAUUGACUAAGUGGAAAACGAAGUGGGAAGGCUAAGACAGUCAGGAAGUUGGCUUAGAAGCAGCCAUCCUUCAAAGAAAGCGUAAUAGCUCACUGAUCGAGUCUUCCUGCGCGGAAGAUGUAACGGGGCUAAGUCAAUAACCGAAGCCGCGGAUUCGCAGCAAUGCGAGUGGUAGGGGAGCGUUCUGUAAGCCUGCGAAGGCGGAUCUGCGAGGACCGCUGGAGGUAUCAGAAGUGCGAAUGCUGACAUGAGUAACGUUAAAGCGGGUGAAAAGCCCGCUCGCCGCAAGCCCAAGGUUUCCUGCUCUACGUUCAUCGGAGCAGGGUGAGUCGGCCCCUAAGGUCAGGCUGAGAAGCGUAGCUGAUGGGAAGCUGGUUAAUAUUCCAGCACCGAUUUCAAGUGCGAAGGGGGGACGGAGUCCUGAAGGUCAUCCGGGUGUUGGAUAUCCCGGUUUACGAGCGUAGGAGGUUGACAGGCAAAUCCGUCAACGGAUCUCCAAGGCGAAGGAUCGAGGUUGAGAGAUCAACUGAAGUGACUGAAUGGGCUUCCAGGAAAAGCCUCUAAGCAUCAGCUUGGAAUUGACCGUACCGCAAACCGACACUGGUGGGCGAGCUGAAUAUGCUCAGGCGCUUGAGAGAACUCAGGAGAAGGAACUCGGCAAAUUGACACCGUAACUUCGGGAUAAGGUGUGCCUUUGUAGUGUGAAGGGAGAAACACCCCGAGCAUGAAGAGGCCUCAGAGAAUCGGUGGCUGCAACUGUUUACUAAAAACACAGCACUCUGCAAAGAUGAAAGUCGACGUAUAGGGUGUGAUGCCUGCCCGGUGCUGGAAGAUUAAUUGAUGGGGUGCAAGCUCCUGAUCGAAGUCCCAGUAAACGGCGGCCGUAACUAUAACGGUCCUAAGGUAGCGAAAUUCCUUGUCGGGCAAGUUCCGACCUGCACGAAUGGCAUAAUGAUGGCCACACUGUCUCCUCCUGAGACUCAGUGAAGUUGAAAUGUUUGUGAUGAUGCAAUCUCCCCGCGGCUAGACGGAAAGACCCCAUGAACCUUUACUGCAGCUUUGCAUUGGACUUUGAACCGAUCUGUGUAGGAUAGGUGGGAGGCAGUGAAGCUAGGACGCCAGUCUUAGCGGAGCCAACCUUGAAAUACCACCCUGAUUUGUUUGAGGUUCUAACCUAGGAGCGUAAUCCGCUUCGGGGACCGUGCAUGGUAGGCAGUUUGACUGGGGCGGUCUCCUCCUAAAGGGUAACGGAGGAGUGCGAAGGUACGCUAGGUACGGUCGGAAAUCGUGCUGAUAGUGCAAUGGCAAAAGCGUGCUUGACUGCGAGACCGACAAGUCGAGCAGAUACGAAAGUAGGUCAUAGUGAUCCGGUGGCUCUGCAUGGAAGGGCCAUCGCUCAACGGAUAAAAGGUACUCUGGGGAUAACAGGCUGAUACCGCCCAAGAGUUCAUAUCGA
rnacentral:rRNA from 1 species